CUACCCGGGUAUCUAAUCCUGUUUGCUCCCCACGCUUUCGCACCUGAGCGUCAGUCUUCGUCCAGGGGGCCGCCUUCGCCACCGGUAUUCCUCCAGAUCUCUACGCAUUUCACCGCUACACCUGGAAUUCUACCCCCCUCUACGAGACUCAAGCCUGCCAGUUUCAAAUGCAGUUCCCAGGUUAAGCCCGGGGAUUUCACAUCUGACUUAACAGACCGCCUGCGUGCGCUUUACGCCCAGUAAUUCCGAUUAACGCUUGCACCCUCCGUAUUACCGCGGCGGCUGGCAC
rnacentral:rRNA from 1 species